UCCAGCAGCUUUAUUUUGGCAGCCUCACUGCGCAUGGCUACAGUCGCACAGGAAAACGUAACGGCGAUAAUUAGAAAAGAACCUUGCGUUGGAAUCGGGAAUUAAACAUCGGACUCGGGAAGCGGCGCAUAGUAAACAAUCCUGACAGGAGCCAAUGGGAGAGCGAGAUCAUCGCCCUGACUUCCGGAGUGGGCUGAAAACUUAGCAGCGAGGCCACGCCCACCGUUGACUUUGCUUGGAGGGGAGCCUGAAAGAGGAGGUCACACAGAUGAAGAGCAACAUGUGAAAAGUGUACCUCGAAAACAACAAAAAUUGCGGCUGGAGCCGAGAAGCAGCCUCAGUCAGCUGGACGGGAGGAGUGGUCCACCCCAGGUCCCGACUUGAAACAGCUACCGCCUCCUCCGUGGAAACUGAUUGAUGGCCACCUGAUAACCUCUCGACGCAGGAGAGGGGGCCAAAGCAGAAAGAGAGGCGGCAGAUCAACUGGUUUAAAAAGGGGUCUAUUUAAAGCAGGCCUAUUCAACUGGCGAACCGCGGGCCACAACCGGCCCACCGAACAUCACCCAACCAUUGAUGAUGAAACCACUAAAACUAGGGUUGCUCAUGUAUGCAGUACUCCAGCCGUCCCGCAGGGGCCAACAGCGAGGCAUAUGUGUCACAAUGAAUCAACAGUGGGGUGAGUAGUAGAAAACUACUCGAUCACUCCUGAAAAAAAAAAUCUAAAUAGAAUGAAAAAAUCAGACUUUUAUCAACGACUGGACAACAAAGUAUGAAUGUUCUGCCCUGAGCAAUGCUUGAGUCAUUGUUUUCUCACGGACCUUUCAAGCGACGGACACAUUGAUCCAGACAAGCAGCAACAAUGGUAGAAAUCCCAGCGUGUAAGCUUCAUUACGAAACUUGGUCAAACAUUUGUAAGUAGAUAUUGUGCAUAAAGAUAUUUAGUUUGUUUUGUAUUGAAAUUGCUGACAUUGUGAUGUCUUUUGUAUUCGUGGUCGCGUUGGUAUUUGUCUGUGAGUAACUAUGCCGAUCAAAACUCAUUCAAUACAUGUAGCGCUACAUUUGACCAGUAGAGGGCGACAACACUACAUCUUAGGUUUAACUGUGAUAAGUCACAUACAGUGUGUGCAAUGUGUAAUUUCUUAAUGCUUAAACAUUUGUUGUUUAUCGUGUAAAAACAGUCACACUAAAACUUCUAUUUUAUUUAUGUAAAAUACACAAUGGCCAUUAUUUAUGUUCAAAUACACAAUUAGAUGUUAUACUUUUGUUAUAUUUAUUUUAUGUUUAGAUUUUCAGUCUUACAAACCUAAAUGAAGGAAGAAGUGUGGAGAAAUAAAACUGAGGAAGGAAAAGACUGCAAAAGAAGGAACAUCAAUCCUCAACAAAACUUCUCGAGCUUCUGUUUCUUAAUGCUUUUAAUUAGCUGCACACGCUGGAAACGAGUAGCGAGGGCAGAAUAAUGAAUUUAUUGAUAGUGCAAUGUGAAAGCGGAUGUGUUUAAUUUGCAAUUAAGUAAACACAGUUUCAAAGGAAUAUAACCUGCGAAAGCACUUUCUGACGAAACAUCCACAUUCCGAUUUCCGGCCCCAGAGCCCUUGGGCCCUUGAAAUUGCGGCCCCCUUCAUCAUGUAGUUGUAUAGCCCUGAUUUAAAGGCUGGGGUGUAUG